UCUCUCUGACAAGCUGAAGGAGGCUGAGACCCGGGCUGAGUUUGCAGAGAGAUCAGUAACCAAAUUGGAGAAAAGCAUUGAUGACUUAGAAGGUAAGAUCUUUAAUAUUUUAAAUUCAGUCCUAUGGUUGACUAUAACUCUCUUGAUAAAGCAGUCGUCCAAUCCGAGGGCUUCCACCGGGACACGCCUGUCUGUUGUCACACUUCCUGUCUGACUUUCCUCUGGGGUUCUCACCUGUUAGGAUGAAACUCUUGAACCCGAGUCCUCAGUUCUUGGGGCGACUUAGCUGCCAGACAGCUUCCGUCUAAUUUCUUGCAAUUCAGAAGUGGGUCUGGGCUGCUUUUCACUGAGCGAAGUAAUUAUAGAAGAAUGUGACUCUGGUUUUCUGUAUCUCUGGCAAUAUCUCCUAAUUGUCAGAACAGUGGAGAUUUGUUUUAGACACAGCCCAUCUUCCAAGUGUGACCCCUGAAGAAGGGCUUGAUUUCAGUCAUUCAUUGGCAAAAUAUUCUAUAUUUUGAAAGGUUGGAGGGUAGGAAUUAGUAAGGCAUUGAGUGUCAAGAAUACACUUUAGCAUUUCUCAAAAAAAAAAAAAACAAAACAAAACAAAACCAUAAAACAACAACAAAAGACCCACACACACCAUACGUCACAGGAAGAAGGGGUUGGAGGAAAAUAAAUAACAAAAAGCAAGAUGUGUGAGAGGAGAGAGAGCGGGCGUCGUGUCCGUGCAAGCUUACAGUGAGUAGCAGACACAAACCCAGCACCAUUACAAAAGCUAAACUUCAGACAAGCCGCAGUAAAGCCCCAAACUGUGGCUGCCUUUGCUUUUCAAGCCUCUGAUACUAGCAACAGUUGGCUUGAAAGGGAGGAGCAUGGGAAUAGUUUAAGUGCCACGAGGAAAUCAAUAUCCCCUGGUCUGGCUUGGGCAGGAAGUGAGUGGCUUGAAGGUAGCAUCGUAGCAAACUAAACUUGCUGCCUUUGGCUGUUUCUCCCCAUAGCUUACAGCCACUGGUGGCUGACUGCUCCGGUGUAAUUAAUUGACAGCUUUGUAAAAAGAAAGCUGCUCCACUGCCCAUCAGGAGACAGUCUUCCGUGGGGGUCUUGGAUUUAACGGAUUGCCUACCCUUGGUGUUGUGUUUUUCAUAUUGAGUCCUUCUUAUUUUAUUUUCUAAUGGGUUUUUUGUUCUCUUUGUUUUUGUUUCAUUUCCUUUAAAAAAAAAAACAAAAAAAAAAAAACAAAACCGCACGCCUCCUGCAUUGGCCACCCGCUGCGGCACCAACCCCUUCAUGCAUUGCCCUUUCCUUCCUGCCGUGUCGGGAUGGCGCCUACGCCGCCCUUGCUCACCCUCCAUCUCUUGAUCAUUCUCCAUGUCCUUGCACCUCUGCCUUCCACUUCCUGCUCGUAGACGAGCUGUAUGCUCAGAAACUGAAGUACAAGGCCAUCAGCGAGGAGCUGGACCACGCUCUCAACGAUAUGACUUCCAUAUAAGUUUCUUUGCUUCUCUCCUCCCAAGACUCCUUCAUCAAGCCGGAUGUCCCACCUCUCUGAGCUCUGCAUCUGUCUGCUCUCCAGCUGACCCAGGUUUCUUUCUAGUGCCCACCCACCCUAGGGCCAGGCACAGACCGUGCUUUCUAUUGUACAGAGGUGAUCCUCCCAGUGUAAAAUAAACACUGUACGCU
rnacentral:lncRNA from 1 species